rnacentral:rRNA from 1 species
UACGUAGGGCGCAAGCGUUAUCCGGAAUUAUUGGGCGUAAAGAGCUCGUAGGCGGUUUGUCGCGUCUGCCGGUGAAAAGUCCGGGGCUCAACUCCGGAUCUGCGGUGGGUACGGGCAGACUAGAGUGAUGUAGGGGGAGACUGGAAUUCCUGGUGUAGCGGUGAAAAUGCGCAGAUAUCAGGAGGAACACCGAUGGCGAAGGCAGGUCUCUGGGCAUUAACUGACGCUGAGGAGCGAAAGCAUGGGGAGCGAAACAGG